AGCACCGCCAAAUUCGGUUAAGGG
rnacentral:siRNA from 1 species